GGUGACUCUGCAGCAGUGACCACGUAGGUCCGGGUGACUGGCGAGCAAUAUGAAAAGCAAAAACAGCUGAAGACACUGGACGAGACGACGUUUGGCCGACAGUAUAGAGCACUGCGGACAUGAAGAAUUUAAGUUAUGCUAAAUCCAACCAUAAAAUACAUUUAUGUAAAGAUAUAUAUUUUUAACCAAGCACAUAUUUAAGGUAAUUCUGUGAGCUUAUGUAAAGAGAUUAAUUCCUGAGCUGUCUCUUAUACCACAGGUGCCAUAAGGAAGAAAACAAAAAAAGGAAAGAACACAAUUUUGGGAAAUUAUUUCUUAAUUUUUAUCGGGGGUUUUUUUUUCUUCUUUUUUUUUUUUCUAUAUAUCAGUUGUUUAGCAAAUGUACAACUGCACUGUUAGCACAGGGUGGACACCGUGAUUCUUUGAAUUCAAAUUGUUGUCAUCUUCUUUAUAAUUUUUGAUAAUGAGCCUGGGAUUAUGUUGGAGCUGCUGCUGCUGCUGCUGAUGAUGAUGUAAAUGAUCAAAGCUGAAAUCUUUUGUAAACGUGUUGCCCUGGCCAGGUUACCAUGAACAAAUGUUAGUAUAUUUCUUACAGCUGCUGUUGAGUUGCUUUGGCAUUUUUUUUUAUUUUUUUUUUUGAGCUGGCCAAUCAGAUGCAUUUGUUUUAUUUGAUACAUUCGUGUUAAUAAUAACUCACACUGCCUUAGCUGAUUGGAUGACCACUCAAUGGAGUUUGCUCAACCUGUCAGUGCAGCAUGUAGCUUUCAACAAAACCUGCAGCAAUGCUGGAAGUCUUCACUGGAGAUGAUAAUACUGAUACUAGUAGGGUUUGUUUGUCUGCAGAGGGAACUGGUCUGCAAUCAUGUAUGCUGUCUAUUAAAUGUCAAUUAAAUAUAAGAUAUAGAUGACUGGUUCUGAUGUCUGGAAGUGGUUUGUUUGUUUAAAGUGGAAGAAGAGAUGACACAAAUGGAUCCAAAUCACUCAAACUUAAAGAUUUACAACCAUGAGGGCAUUGAAGAAACUGCAUUUACUAUCAGUGGUUUAUGAAUUAAGGUUAAAUCCUAGAUAAUCUGCCAUUGUUCCCUUUGCUAGUCACUCAAAUCUUUGUGACUUGCACACAAACACACAUACACACACACACACACUCGAUGUAUUUUCUGAGUGUGCACCAAACUUUACCCAGUCACUUUAGGAAAAGUGGCAAGCCAAUCUAAAAUCAUAAAUGUGUGAAAUAUCUAGUUUGAUUUUUGAGCAAGUUCAUAGCAGUGAUUUUGCAUGUUGGUGGUGCAUAAUAAAGUGUUGACACAAUAUCAAAAUUUUCGCCUAUGAACUCCUUUCUCUUUCUUUUUCCAUUCCAGAACGGCAUACUUCAAUUGGCUUGGUUUGGCAGUGCACAUUUAUUAUCUGUCAUAAAUGCACUGUUGACUGCCCUCAACCUAUUGUCUAUAAUUCAUCACAGAGACCCACCAUCUGAGGUUUUUGGACAAUGACAC